GAAAUGCGAGAAGUAAUGUGAAGUGCAGAAUUCAGUGAAUCAUCGAAUCUUUGAACGCACAUUGCGCCCGCCAGUAUUCUGGCGGGCAUGCCUGUUCGAGCGUCAUUACAACCCUCAGGCCCCCGGGCCUGGCGUUGGGGAUCGGCGGAAGCCCCCUGCGGGCACAACGCCGUCCCCCAAAUACAGUGGCGGUCCCGCCGCAGCUUCCAUUGCGUAGUAGCUAACACCUCGCAACUGGAGAGCGGCGCGGCCACGCCGUAAAACACCCAACUUCUGAAUGUUGACCUCGAAUCAGGUAGGAAUACCCGCUGAACUUAAGC
rnacentral:misc_RNA from 1 species